CAGCGGUGAAACUCACGGGCUCAACCCGUGACCUGCCGUUGAUACUGGGGAGCUUGAAUACGGAUGAAGCGGGAGGAAUGUAUGGUGUAGCGGUGAAAUGCUUAGAUAUCAUACAGAACGCCUAAUGCGAAGGCAUCUCGCUAAUCCGUCAUUGACGCUGAGGCACGAAAGCGUGGGGAUCAAACAGGAUUAGAUACCCUGGUAGUCCACGCCGUAAACGAUGAUAACUCGCUGCUGGGGCAAUUAAGCUUCAGUGGCUUAGCGAAAGCGUUAAGUUAUCCACCUGGGGAGUACGGUCGCAA
rnacentral:rRNA from 1 species